rnacentral:rRNA from 1 species
AGAGUUUGAUCCUGGCUCAGAUUGAACGCUGGCGGCAGGCCUAACACAUGCAAGUCGAGCGGUAACAGAAAUUAGCUUGCUAAUUUGCUGACGAGCGGCGGACGGGUGAGUAAUGCCUGGGAAUAUGCCUUAGUGUGGGGGAUAACUAUUGGAAACGAUAGCUAAUACCGCGUAAUGUCUUCGGACCAAAGAGGGGGAUCUUCGGACCUCUCGCGCUAAGAUUAGCCCAGGUGAGAUUAGCUAGUUGGUGAGGUAAGAGCUCACCAAGGCGACGAUCUCUAGCUGGUCUGAGAGGAUGAUCAGCCACACUGGAACUGAGACACGGUCCAGACUCCUACGGGAGGCAGCAGUGGGGAAUAUUGCACAAUGGGCGAAAGCCUGAUGCAGCCAUGCCGCGUGUAUGAAGAAGGCCUUCGGGUUGUAAAGUACUUUCAGUAGGGAGGAAGGUGUUGUCGUUAAUAGCGGCAGCAUUUGACGUUACCUACAGAAGAAGCACCGGCUAACUCCGUGCCAGCAGCCGCGGUAAUAAU